rnacentral:tRNA from 1 species
GGAGGGGUGGCCGAGUGGCCGAAGGCGGCGGUUUGCUAAACCGUUAGGCGGGGAUAACCCGCCUCGUGGGUUCGAAUCCCAUCCCCUCCGCCA